rnacentral:rRNA from 1 species
UACGUAGGGCGCAAGCGUUGUCCGGAAUUAUUGGGCGUAAAGAGCUCGUAGGCGGUUUGUCGCGUCUGCUGUGAAAGCCCGGGGCUCAACCCCGGGUCUCAGUGGGUACGGGCAGACUAGAGUGCAGAGGGGAGACUGGAAUUCCUGGUGUAGCGGUGAAAUGCGCAGAUAUCAGGAGGAACACCGAUGGCAAGGCGGUCUCUGGGCUGUUACUGACGCUGAGAGCGAAGCAUGGGGAGCGAACGGAUUAGAUACCCGUAGUCC